GUGUCUUCUUUGUUUAAGUAAAUCCUUGGUCUGAGGCCUCCAGUUUUUGGCAGUUAAAAUCGCCAGUCACUUUUAGGCCAGUCGCAGGCCUUCGCAGGGCUCAGAAGAUAAGAAUGGUGGAGCAGUGCGCGUUGGGUGGCCGGCGUGGCCUGAUUUGUAUUCGAUUUGUUGGGUCGCACUCCGGAAAAACCUCGGCUCGGGGCCCUGCCUCUGAUGAAGCUUGUGUUGGUAGGGACAUCUGAGACUGUUGAUGAAUGCCAACGGCUCUGAUGGCGGUGCUUGCCGAGUUGCCGAGCGGGUUUCUGUUAAUGCCUUCUGCUCUUGCCUCUUCCCGUCUCUGAGUAAGGCCACGUGAGCCUCUAAAUGGCUGCAUUCCCCAAUGCAGCAUUAGUGCCCUCAGAAUGCUCCUGUGAAAUUUUGAGUGGUGUAGUAAACGACCUGCAAACAUGAUGGGGAGAUGACAAUGAUUAGAUGUGGGGAAAAAACGAAUUUUGGGAGUUCUUUGAUGGCCUAGCAGGUUGAGGCUCCUGCAUUCUCCGCUGUGGUUCUGGCUGUGCCGCGUAGAUUCGAUCCCCGGACCAGGAAUGCCCAGACACUAUACUGCAUGUGUGGCAAAAAAGAAAAUACAAAAGAAAAAAAUGGAAUUUUGAAAAUCCCUAAUCUUUUCUAGGAAUGGUGCUAGGGAUGAAUGCAAUGUGGCUUUUGAUGGCUUCUGAUGGGCAGCUAAGUGCCAAAGAUAUGAGAAUCGCUGCUGGGGUUGUAAAGCGCAAGCUUAACACUGUAUUUGUGGGCAAAAAGGUGCUAGGCAGAGUUAGCUGAAAGGUGAAGAGGUGAACUUGUCUGACAUGUCUGGACCAGCCUUUUUAGUGGGUACCUGGUAUUAUCUGUGGAUGGCUUGUAUGGGUGGGAGUAUUGAAGCUAUUUUGAAAUGUGUCUGAAGAAAUUUUUUUCAGGUGCAGAUUUUGAGGACCUUUUGUAUAAAGGUGUGAAGAGGCCUUGGCUACAAAGGCAUUGGAACAUGCCUUAAAAGGCAGAUCUUCUGUUACCCUGAAGAUUUCAAAGGCAUUUAUGAGCAGCAGUCAACGCAACUUAACCAAUUGACAGGUAGCUGGAUGGAUGCUUGUGGGAUGGAUAGAAGAAAAGUAAACAACUUUGUAUUUAAUAAAUGUUUUUUACUUAAAAGCCA